GCCAGGUGUGGUGGCGCACACCUAUAAUCCCAGAUACUUGGGAGGCUGAGGCAGGAGAAUUGCUUGAACCCAGGAGGUGCAGGUUGCAGCGAGCUGAGAUCAUGCCACUGCACUCUAGCCUGGGCAACAGAGUGAGACUCUGUCUCAA
rnacentral:SRP_RNA from 1 species